rnacentral:rRNA from 1 species
UGGGGAAUUUUGGACAAUGGGGGAGACCCUGAUCCAGCCAUCCCGCGUGUGCGAUGAAGGCCUUCGGGUUGUAAAGCACUUUUGGCAGGAAAGAAACGUCAUGGGUUAAUACCCCGUGAAACUGACGGUACCUGCAGAAUAAGCACCGGCUAACUACGUGCCAGCAGCCGCGGUAAUACGUAGGGUGCAAGCGUUAAUCGGAAUUACUGGGCGUAAAGCGUGCGCAGGCGGUUCGGAAAGAAAGAUGUGAAAUCCCAGAGCUCAACUUUGGAACUGCAUUUUUAACUACCGGGCUAGAGUGUGUCAGAGCGAGGUGGAAUUCCGCGUGUAGCAGUGAAAUGCGUAGAUAUGCGGAGGAACACCGAUGGCGAAGGCAGCCUCCUGGGAUAACACUGACGCUCAUGCACGAAAGCGUGGGGAGCAAACAGU